rnacentral:rRNA from 1 species
UACGAAGGGGGCUAGCGUUGCUCGGAAUCACUGGGCGUAAAGCGCACGUAGGCGGAUUGUUAAGUCAGGGGUGAAAUCCUGGAGCUCAACUCCAGAACUGCCUUUGAUACUGAGAGCUUGAGUCCGGGAGAGGUGAGUGGAACUGCGAGUGUAGAGGUGAAAUUCGUAGAUAUUCGCAAGAACACCAGUGGCGAAGGCGGCUCACUGGCCCGGUACUGACGCUGAGGUGCGAAAGCGUGGGAGCAA